rnacentral:rRNA from 1 species
CCUACGGGAGGCAGCAGUGGGGAAUAUUGGACAAUGGGGGCAACCCUGAUCCAGCCAUGCCGCGUGUGUGAAGAAGGCCCUCGGGUUGUAAAGCACUUUCAGUGAGGAAGAACGCCUGGUGGUUAAUACCCAUCAGGAAAGACAUCACUCACAGAAGAAGCACCGGCUAACUCCGUGCCAGCAGCCGCGGUAAUACGGAGGGUGCGAGCGUUAAUCGGAAUUACUGGGCGUAAAGCGCGCGUAGGUGGUUUGAUAAGCCGGUUGUGAAAGCCCCGGGCUCAACCUGGGAACGGCAUCCGGAACUGUCAAGCUAGAGUGCAGGAGAGGAAGGUAGAAUUCCCGGUGUAGCGGUGAAAUGCGUAGAGAUCGGGAGGAAUACCAGUGGCGAAGGCGGCCUUCUGGACUGACACUGACACUGAGGUGCGAAAGCGUGGGUAGCAAACAGGAUUAGAUACCCCGGUAGUC